GACGAACGCUGGCGGCGUGCCUAAUACAUGCAAGUCGAACUCAGUGGGGCCGGGUGAGUAACACGUGGGUAACCUCCCCUCAGAGGGGAUAACACUUGGAAACAGGUGCUAAACCGAUACUGAUGGAUGGACCCGCGGUGCAUUAGCGAGUUGGUGAGGUAACGGCUCACCAAGGCCACGUUGCAUAGCAGACCUGCGAGGGGGUUGGGCCACAGUGGGACGGAGACGCGGACCAGACUCCUAUGGAAGGCAGUGGUAGGGAAUCUUCGGAAAGGGACGAAGGUCUGACCGAGCAACGCCGCGUGAGUGAAGAGGGUUUGCGGAUCGGAAAGCUCUGUUGUUAGAGAAGCGGUAUCUACCCAGAAAGCCACGGCUAACUACGUGCCAGCAGCCGCGGUAAUUC
rnacentral:rRNA from 1 species